ensembl:lncRNA
UGCCAGAGGGGACCCAGUGGCUGAGAAGUGGGUCUGACUUCCUCUUGCUGGUUCUGGGAACCUCCAAACCCCAGCCCUCCAACCCAGACAGAAAGUGAUAGGGCCCUUCCAUCCACUGGACCUGGUCUCCGUUUGUAAGAGAACUCAAUUCUUCCUUUUUCUCAGCUGCUGCGCCCACCCCGGUGCAGCCUUAGUGAUACAAGUCUCCAUAGGAUUAACAGAUCCUUAAAAUCCUCUUCAGAGUCCUGCAGCCAAGGUGACGUACCCAAGGAAAGGGGCCGGUUGGCCACCAGAGGCCACACACACAGGAUAUUGAAUAGAGUUGAAUUUGGAGCAGCACUUUUCCAUGAGAAGAAGACACUGGAGGCCUCCCCUUCUUCCCCCCUCCCCAUUCCCAGCCCUCCCUCACUUCCCCAGGAGCCCAACCGGGGCUGGCCUGAGAGCUUAGGACCCUGAUAUAACAUCAUCGAUUCACGGAGAGCUAGAACCUUGUCAUUUCACAUUUCGAGGAGGGAAAGGAGAAAGCAAUUUGGGAAAAGCACCCUUUUCGGAGAUAAAGAGGCAAGCUUUUGUCUCCUCUCCCAUGGAUGCCCUGGAAACCGCUCCUGCUUCACUUCCUGACCAUGUGGAGCGGUCACAAUUAGGGGCUAUUGCCUUAAAAAAAAAUGUCUUUUGCCUUGUUUUAUUUAGUGUGCCCAGAAUUCACUGAUAUCUGGAAGUGAGCACUUCCGCUUAUGGGUGCUCUGGAAACAGGAAAAUAAAAGGAAAAAUCAGAACUACAAGCAGAGAGAUCCUUAUUUUUUUAACUUUUUAUUUUCUCUUGGGGUAUAGCUGAUUAACAAUGCUGUGAUGGUUUCAGGCGAACAGCAAAGGGACUCAGCCAUACAUAUAUGUGUAUCCAUUCUGCCCCAAACUCCCCUCCCAGCAAGAUCCUUCUUGGCCUGUUUUUUUCCCUUCUUCCCCAUUUUGAAAUAAUGCUUUAAAUGCUCUAGCAGGCUCUUUCAGUUACCUCUAACAGUUCUGUAGCAACCUGUAUCAUGUCAGCAUCAGAACUGAACUGAGAGAAAGCAAAAUGUCAGAGCAGCUGGUGACGGCUGAGGCCUCGUAUUGCCCCACUGCUGAGGGGGUCGGAGGCCUUCAUUCUGGUCUGGGAAUCCUGUGGGUUUCUUGUUGGGCCAACAUGAGGGCGAGUGUUGUGUCAGGCUGGGACAUUGUUAAGAAGGUGUCUUCCACAUAAGGCUCAAUAAAUACCACCUAAAUUGGAUGUCAUUAAAUUAGCAGCAGCUGCCC